UACGUAGGGUGCAAGCGUUAAUCGGAAUUACUGGGCGUAAAGCGUGCGCAGGCGGUUAUGUAAGACAGAGGUGGAAUCCCCGGGCUCAACCUGGGAACUGCCUUUGUGACUGCAUAGCUGGAGUGCGGCAGAGGGGGAUGGAAUUCCGCGUGUAGCAGUGAAAUGCGUAGAUAUGCGGAGGAACACCGAUGGCGAAGGCAAUCCCCUGGGCCUGCACUGACGCUCAUGCACGAAAGCGUGGGGAGCAAACAGG
rnacentral:rRNA from 1 species